CAUCCGCAAGCUCAGAUCAUGCCCAGAACAAAUGAUCCACAACAAUCAGUAGCUCAGGGCACAGAUAAAAACGAACUUGUAUUAUCUUUCCUGGAAAUCGACAUAAGGCUAGACCAUUCUUCAGAACUCCAGGACUUCAUGUUCCAAUCUCUAUGUAAUGUUCCUACUGGGAUAACAUAAAGAAUAUCCAAAAUGACUCUCUUUUUCCUACUGUUCUCCACCACAGCUUUGAAAAAACAAGCUUCCAUGAAACUUAAAAUCACAAGGAAACAAAUGGUACCAACAACCAUGCAAAAAGGGAAGUGGACACUUCCUAGCUGAAUCUCCACCUAAGAACCCAGUCCUGGACAACACCUUGAUUGCAGCCUAUGAUACUCUAAGCAGAGAAUUCAGUUAAGCUGUGCCCAAACUUUUGACCCACAAAAACUCUAAAAUAAUGAGUACUGUUGUAAGCUGCUAAAUUUGUGGU